CAGUGAAAAGUCGUGAACGAAUAGAAAAAGAGGGGGGGUUCUGGAUAGGAGUGGCGGCCAUCAAACCGUUCUUCGACCGCUUCGUGCGGAUGACGGCCGUCAUUACCGAGAACAACGAAACUGCACAAACGAGAACCGGGCAGCCAGCACUGCGUACUCCCCCAUAGAUAGAUUCGAACCGCUCUGGCGUCUUUGGUCUAGCCGAACUACUUGCAUGAGGUCUACUGCAGCGACGACUAGCGUCAUAGAAUCGCACUAAGCACGCCUGCGCCACCCUUCGUUCGCCAUUUCUCACCCAUUCUCGAUUGCUGCCAACCGUUUUUUUUUUGGUGUGCGUGCGUGUGUGCGUGCGUGUGUGUGUGUGUAUGCUGGAGGUCCACGACGCCACGGUCCCCUCAGUUUUCAAUCGUCUCUGUCCGCGGGUAAAAUUCACAAUCAUGUCGGCGCUGAACGAUAGUCGUACUACCAGCGGGCGUCCAAGUCCAGGCGGGAAGCCACACGCACUGCGACCGCAGGGGAUACCUCCCUUGUUGUGUGGCGACGAUGUGGGGGCUAGCAGAGGCGGUGGUGACAUCGGCGACUUCGAGACGGCGUUUGAGCAGCUUCACAGCAUACGUAGCGAAGAAGAGGGCGACGUAGAAGCCUCUUCCUCUCCCGAGCUGCGUCUGCGCCGUGUUCAGCGAGAUGUAUAUCGUCAUGAGCGUCAGAUUGCUUCCCUCCUCAGUGAAAAACACGAGCACUGUGAGCAUUUAGCGACUGUUUACGAGGAGCUGGAAAAGGUGCUUCGCAAGAUCCAGCUGGCGCCGCUGGAGGACCUUAAAGAGCAUGCCGCGUCUCCCUCUGCGUCGACGUUCUGUGCACCGAGCAGCGACGAGGACGGCUACGCGGCGUCGACUACCGUUUCUGCGCUCGCGUCUUCCCUGCAGCAACGCUUUCACCAGGUGCUUCAAAUGCAUCAGGAUCGUGUUUACGACGUUCUCGUUGACUAUCGCCAGCAGAUCGACAAAAACGAGUACGAGACUGGUCGGCGUCUGUGCGCCUUAGAGGACGCCAUUGCGCAGAUUCAGUCGGAUGUGCGCGAACUACAACACACAGCCAGCAUCCAGGUAGAGGAGCUGCGGCACGUUCAGCAGGACGUGCGUCAAUGCGUCGAGGCGGUGGCCGCGCAGCAAGAGGCGCAACGCGCCGCCCUCGACCACACCGGGGAAGCGCGAGACACGAAGGCAGCGAAGCUGCUAAGCAAGAUUCAAGACGACGUUGCUCGACUGAGGGCCGACGCAAAGGCUGUGCGGGCUCAGCAAAUAGAAAGCGGAAAGGACGUCGAGGAGCAGAUUCGGUCGCUGUUAUCAGCCCAGCAUAGGGCAGAGGAGGCUUUGGAGGUACAUAGUGCGUCUAUCGCGCAGCUGCAGAACCAGGAUUCGCUUGAGGGGGCUUUUCAUGAGGUGAAGGACUGGCUCGGCGACCUCGAAAAGCGCAUGGUCAGCCGCGGCGAGCUACUGCAGUGGACAGAGUCCCUGCAGAGUGAAAUUCAUCAGAUGCGGCGUGUCACAGGUGGGGUACUCUCGCACACGAUUCAACCGACUGCGCCUGGUCACGACGCUUAGCGAAGAGAAUGUUUUGCUCGUGAGUGUGCGGCAUGCAUCCCCGCCCCUACAUCCAUGAAGGGAAUAGUAGAGUGGUUUACUGCGACUCCGCGUACUUUCAUGCCCCUGCCAUCAUCUCUUUGUGCCCCCUCCUCUGCAUUCUUGUCUCUGCAGGUCCUGCUGUCGUUUGAUUCAAGUCGUGGCAGUGGCGUUAUGAGUGCACCGCAGCUAACACUAGGACAUGCUUCGUUGCU
rnacentral:misc_RNA from 1 species